rnacentral:rRNA from 1 species
UACGUAGGGGGCGAGCGUUGUCCGGAAUCAUUGGGCGUAAAGCGCGUGUAGGCGGUCCGGUAAGUCCGCUGUGAAAGUCGGGGGCUCAACCCUCGGAUGCCGGUGGAUACUGUCGGGCUUGAGUACGGAAGAGGCGAGUGGAAUUCCUGGUGUAGCGGUGAAAUGCGCAGAUAUCAGGAGGAACACCGAUGGCGAAGGCAGGUCUCUGGGCCACUACUGACGCUGAGAAGCGAAAGCAUGGGGAGCGAACAGG